GACGCAGCCCCUGGACGGGGACGAGCCCCUGGCGGAGGUGAUGUGGGAGUACAAAUGGGAGAACACGAAUGGGGCAGAGCUCUAUGGGCCCUUCAGCAGCACCCAGAUGCAGGAGUGGGUGAACCAGGGCUAUUUUGAGCAUGGAGUCUACUGCCGCAAGGCCGACAAUUCGGAAGGCCAGUUCUACAACUCCAAGCGGGUGGAUUUUGACCUGUACACGUGAUCUGCGACUGGCCUGCGACCCCUCGAGCCGAGGGGGCUGGACUUGGGUCUGGGAGAGCCAGGGAGGGAGGUUGGGGUGCAUAUGGGGCGGAGGGGCUUGUGGGGUGUGGAUGUCUCGUCUUUAUUUUUUUUCUUGCUGGAUUAAAAUAUAUCUAUGUCUUGUA